rnacentral:rRNA from 1 species
CAACUCUUAGCGGUGGAUCACUCGGCUCGUGUGUCGAUGAAGAGGAAGCAGCUAUCUGCGAGAACUAAUGUGAAUUGCAGGACACAUUGAUCAUCGACACUUGAACGGACUUUGCGGUCCCAGGCUCCUCCCGUGGCCACGCCUGUCUGAGGGUCGGCU